rnacentral:rRNA from 1 species
GAGUUUGAUCUUGGCUCAGAUUGAACGCUGGCGGCAGGCCUAACACAUGCAAGUCGGGCGGUAGAGAGAAGCUUGCUUCUCUUGAGAGCGGCGGACGGGUGAGUAAUGCCUAGGAAUCUGCCUGGUAGUGGGGGAUAACGCUCGGAAACGGACGCUAAUACCGCAUACGUCCUACGGGAGAAAGCAGGGGACCUUCGGGCCUUGCGCUAUCAGAUGAGCCUAGGUCGGAUUAGCUAGUUGGUGAGGUAAUGGCUCACCAAGGCGACGAUCCGUAACUGGUCUGAGAGGAUGAUCAGUCACACUGGAACUGAGACACGGUCCAGACUCCUACGGGAGGCAGCAGUGGGGAAUAUUGGACAAUGGGCGAAAGCCUGAUCCAGCCAUGCCGCGUGUGUGAAGAAGGUCUUCGGAUUGUAAAGCACUUUAAGUUGGGAGGAAGGCAGUAAAUUAAUACUUUGCUGUUUUGACGUUACCGACAGAAUAAGCACCGGCUAACUCUAGUGCCAGCAGCC